UUCAUACCCUUCUAGAGGAGCCUGUUCUGUAAUCGAUAAACCCCGAUAAACCUCACCAAUCCUUGCUAAUUCAGUCUAUAUACCGCCAUCUUCAGCAAACCCUAAAAAGGAACAAGAGUAAGCUCAAUCACAUCACAUAAAGACGUUAGGUCAAGGUGUAACCUAUGGAAUGGGAAGAAAUGGGCUACAUUUUCUACCUUAAGAAAAUUCAACACGAAAGCCAUUAUGAAACUAAUGGCUAAAGGAGGAUUUAGCAGUAAACUAAGAAUAGAGUGCUUAGUUGAAUUAGGCCAUGAAGCACGCAC
rnacentral:rRNA from 1 species